UACAGAGGGUGCGAGCGUUGUCCGGAAUCACUGGGCGUAAAGGGCGCGUAGGCGGCCUGGUUAGUAGGGGGUGAAAUCUUGCGGCUCAACUGCAAGGCUGGCCUCCUAAACUGCCGGGCUAGAGCACGGGUAGAGGCAGAUGGAAUUCCCGGUGUAGCGGUGGAAUGCGUAGAGAAUCGGGAAGAACACCGGAGGCGAAAGGCGGGCUUGCUG
rnacentral:rRNA from 1 species